UACAGAGGUCUCAAGCGUUGUUCGGAUUCAUUGGGCGUAAAGGGUGCGUAGGUGGCGAGGAAAGUCGGAUGUGAAAGCUCGGAGCUCAACUCCGAAAUGGCAUUGGAAACUACCUUGCUCGAGGGUUGGAGGGGGGACUGGAAUUCUCGGUGUAGCAGUGAAAUGCGUAGAUAUCAAGAGGAACACCAGUGGCGAAGGCGAGUCCCUGGACGAUACCUGACACUGAGGCACGAAAGCCAAGGGAGCAAACAGG
rnacentral:rRNA from 1 species